UACUUUAGGCACUGGAAUGAACAAUACACAGGCUGCUGGCAUGGCCUAAAUAAUUCACUGCCUGGAUGGGGCAGCCAUGAGAGCUGUGGCAGCAUGUGGGGCACCAGCCACACGGUCCUUUUUGCUUCCUCCCAGCGCCAUCGCUUCUGGUAUGCUGGUGAGAUAAAAGUUAAGAGUUUCCUGGAUGUUACUGAAACACGAUAAUCACUUACUCAUGUGCAACCAACAACCACAUGGAAGCUGCUCACAAAAGAAACAGUAGUUUCUUUGCUAACAAAAGAACUCCUAACUGCUUUAUUUUUCUAACAAAAAUUUUCCAAACAUAUUAAUUAAAUGUAUCCCUUUGUUC